rnacentral:rRNA from 1 species
CCCUUAGAUGUUCUGGGCCGCACGCGCGCUACACUGACGAAUGCAACGAGCUUAUAACCUUGGCCGAAAGGUCUGGGUAAUCUCCAAAUUUCGUCGUGAUGGGGAUAGAUUAUUGCAAUUAUUAAUCUUCAACAAGGAAUGCCUAGUAAGCGCAAGUCAUCAGCUUGCGUUGAUUACGUCCCUGCCCUUUGUACACACCGCCCGUCGCUCCUACCGAUUGAAUGGUCCGGUGAAGCGCUCGGACCGCGGCCUCUUGACGGUUCGCUGUCGAUUGGCUGUGGGAAGUUCGUUAAACCUUAUCAUUUAGAGGAAGGAGAAGUCGUAACA